UGCCAGCCGCCGCGGUAAUACAGAGAGUGCAAACGUUGUUCGGAAUCACUGGGCUUAAAGCGCACGUAGGCGGCAUUGUAAGUGUCGGGUGAAAUCCCACGGCUCACCCGUGGAACUGCCCGGCAGACUGCAGUGCUAGAGUAUGGUAGGGGAGAACAGAACUCAUGGUGGAGCGGUGAAAUGCGUAGAUAUCAUGAGGAAUACCGGUGGCGAAGGCGGCUCUCUGGUCCAUAACUGACGCCGAGGGACGAAAGCUAGGGGAGCGAACGGGAUUAGAUA
rnacentral:rRNA from 1 species